AUGGUUAAGUUAGAAAGGGCGCACGGUGAAUGCCUUGGCACUAGGAGCCGAUGAAGGACGGGACUAACACCGAUAUGCUUCGGGGAGCUGUAAGUGAGCUUUGA
rnacentral:rRNA from 1 species